rnacentral:misc_RNA from 1 species
GAAAUUGCCAAUUUUGGGUUCCAGUAAGCAGAGUGCCGCCAUAUCAUCAUCGUUCUCCGCCACCUAACCGAAAUGGACAGCUUAAAUGCUGCUGGAGUAACGGAAAAUUCCAUCAUCGGCUCCGAUGAAGGGGGCGGCUCCCCCACCCAUGAAACUGACAUUGACAUGGGUGAUGUUAAAGCUGAGCCUGUUGAGUAUCCAUCGCCUCCUGCGUCCCGUUUUCGAGAAGGUGAAAAAGUUCUUGCCUUUCAUAGCCAACAACUCUAUGAAGCUAAGGUUCAAAAAGCUGUGUAUCAAAUGAGGGAGUGGAGAUAUUUUGUUCAUUAUCUGGGUUGGAACAAAAGCUGGGAUGAAUGGGCGGGCAUAGAUCGAUUAAUGAAACACACAGAAGAGAAUGUUCAGAAGCAGCAGGAGCUUAAGAAAAAACAGGAUACAGAUAAAAAUGAGAAGGCUGCACGUGGAUCACAAAUGAAAACUAAAGGUUCUACAGGGAAAAGAGGCAGAAAGCGAAAGAGUGAUGUUCCACCGAAGGACAAGGAUGGUCCUCCUCCAGAAAAGCUUGUCAAUAUCCAAAUACCGCCACAAUUGAAGAAACAGCUGGUUGAUGAUUGUGAAUUUGUCAACCACUUGGGCAAGCUUGUCAGACUUCCUCGUUCUCCAAAUGUGGAAGACAUACUACAGAAAUAUCAUGACUAUCGGCUGAAAAAGGAUGGACUGAUAUCUGAGUCUGUUGGAGAGAUUCUUAAUGGUUUGCAAUGCUACUUCGACAAAGCACUUCCUGCUAUGCUCCUCUACAAAAACGAGCGGGAACAGUUUGAGAAAUCAAUUAAAGAAGAUGUCUCACCUUCUUCCGUGUAUGGAGCUGAGCAUUUCUUACGCCUUUUUGUUAAGUUGCCGGAGAUUCUGUUCUAUGCAAGUAUUGAAGAUGAGACAUUGACAGAGUUGAAGCAGAUGUUGCAAGACUUUCUCAGAUUCCUGCAGAAGAAUCAAAGUGCAUUUUUCCUGUCGGCGUACCAUUCUAUAGACGAUUCUGAUGUGGUUGUCAUGAAUGAGGAAAACUGAGUUGGAACCUUUCUUGUUCUAGUGUAUAUAUAUAUACUUCUGUAUCACACCUGGUGAUGUAUAUUCUCUGGUUUCAGUGUACAACUUUAUGUUGUAUUACUAGGCAUGUAACUAGUAUCUUUUGCUACUUAUUGCCUGUUAUGUUCUGGCUCUUGAAAACAGUUAUCUAAGUACCCA